GAAAUGCGAUAAGUAGUGUGAAUUGCAGAAUACAGUGAAUCAUCGAAUCUUUGAACGCACAUUGCGCCCUAUGGUAUUCCGUAGGGCAUGCCUGUUCGAGCGUCAUUUACACCUUCAAGCCUUGCUUGGUGUUGGGUGACUGUGGCCCCUUUGGGGCCACUCGCCUUAAAGUCAUUGGCGGCCGGUUCGUUGGCUUUGUAGCGCAGCACAAUUGCGUCCUCGAAGCCGCUGGACCAGCUCCCAGAAGCUAAUUUUAAAUGUUUGACCUCGAAUCAGGUAGGGAUACCCGCUGAACUUAAGC
rnacentral:misc_RNA from 1 species